UACGGAGGAUGCGAGCGUUAUCCGGAUUUAUUGGGUUUAAAGGGUGCGUAGGCGGACUGUCAAGUCAGCGGUAAAAUACGGGGGCUCAACCUCCGCCCGCCGUUGAAACUGACGGUCUUGAGUGGGCGAGAAGUAUGCGGAAUGCGUGGUGUAGCGGUGAAAUGCAUAGAUAUCACGCAGAACUCCGAUUGCGAAGGCAGCAUACCGGCGCCCGACUGACGCUGAAGCACGAAAGCGUGGGUAUCGAACAGG
rnacentral:rRNA from 1 species